rnacentral:lncRNA from 1 species
CUGUAUCUUGCAGGAAAUGUCUAGCUGAUGGAAGCCUUCUCAGUGAGGCAGUGGUGGAUUCUGAGAAUGUUGUAGCUGCCGUAAAUGUAAGUACUUGGAGCACCAAAUGAGAAUAUUUGGCUGCUAUAUAAUUAACACAACAACUUCCUGUAUUUGGAGCACUGCAACAUCCUAGAACUCUUUCAAUGAGGAAGCCCCAUUACUGUUCUUUAGGCCAUGGAGAGUGCCAAUGUUAUGAAGUGAAGCCUAAUUU